AGGUUUGCUGGGGCUGUGGCUCGGCAGAAACCCCUCACUGGCUUGGGAAGCUGAGUGUGGGUGCAAGGAAUGUGCCUGGAAUUUGACUUGGCUGAGCUGGAGGAGAGUCUCUGUGAGCUGCUGGAAGCAGAGACCCUGGCACCCUGCAGCUUGCCCGAAUGCUGGAAGGAGAAGGCAGCUCCGAUGCUGCUGCAGCUUCCCCGGCUGCCAGGGGAAGUAAUAGAAUCACCCAGGUUGGAGAAGAUCACCUGUAAGAUCAUCGAGUCAGUGCCUCCACAGGUCACGUCUCCUGCUGUCACAUCCUGCUGCCAGGUCACCUCCUGUGCCUGCUCCCUGUCCCUGGAAGCCCGGCAGUCACCUCGCUCAGUGGAUGCAGUGGAUGCUCAGUGUCUGAUGAUUUUGCUGCAGGCAUACCAUCUGCGCGUAUCAAAGCUGAGCCACCUCUUAUCUCCUGGUGGUUCCUGCCUGCUCCCAGCCCGUGAAUCCUGGCUGCAGGGUGUUUGCACUGCUUCCCCAGCCCUGUGGGCUGUGGUGGACUUGGGGUGCCAGAUUCAGGGUGAGGGGCACGCCAGGGCAGGUCUCUGGGGUGCAGGUUGGAAGGGCCAGCACAGACAGCCCUGUCUGCCAGGAGGAUGCUGGUCAUUGCUGUAAGGUCAACCUUAAAUAAUGGGAAUAAUAAAAAUAAGGCUGCCUGCA
rnacentral:lncRNA from 1 species